rnacentral:rRNA from 1 species
UACGGGGGGGGUAAGCGUUGUUCGGAAUUACUGGGCGUAAAGGGUGCGUAGGCGGCGCGGUAAGUCGGGUGUGAAAUCUCGGAGCUUAACUCCGAAACUGCAUUCGAUACUGCCGUGCUUGAGGACUGGAGAGGAGACUGGAAUUUACGGUGUAGCGGUGAAAUGCGUAGAUACCGUAAGGAAGACCAGUGGCGAAGGCGGGUCUCUGGACAGUUCCUGACGCUGAGGCACGAAGGCCAGGGGAGCAAACGGG